rnacentral:lncRNA from 1 species
GACCAGAUCUCUAAUCAGAAACGGGGGACCUAAUUCUUGCAUUCUGUGAAAACGGAUGCAGAAUGCAUUUCAAGAUAUCUGUCAAUUUGCUGUAUGCGAAUUGAAACUGGAACAGAAGCUAAAGAUUCUUGAUUUCAUGAAAAGAUUCGGGAAGGUUUCAUUGUGUAUUACGAUGGGUGGAUUCUUAGUCGUCGAUAAGAAAAUCCCUCUUAAGAUGGCAAAAACGUUGCAUUCUGUUUUUUCGGGACUUUUAAAAUUAAGAAACGUAUCGAAUGCGAGGAUACGCUGCGACAGCAAUUUCACUAUUAAUUAUACGUCUUAUAAUUGAAAAUGUAGAAUUCCAAAUUUACGAAGUAUUUAUAAACGGAAAGUUUCAGUGUCUUAUAAUCAAUAUAAAAAGAGUAAUAUUAACGCAAUCCAUAUUGCGUUAAAGUAAUUUUCUGUAAUUUUAUAGAGAAGCAAAUAGUAAACUACAUAGAUUAAAUGAUAAUGUUAGC